AUUGAACGCUGGCGGCAUGCUUUACACAUGCAAGUCGAACGGCAGCACGGGCUUCGGCCUGGUGGCGAGUGGCGAACGGGUGAGUAAUAUAUCGGAACGUACCCAGAAGUGGGGGAUAACGUAGCGAAAGUUACGCUAAUACCGCAUACGAUCUAUGGAUGAAAGCAGGGGACCGCAAGGCCUUGUGCUCCUGGAGCGGCCGAUAUCUGAUUAGCUAGUUGGUGAGGUAAAGGCUCACCAAGGCGACGAUCAGUAGCUGGUCUGAGAGGACGACCAGCCACCCGGGAACUAGGACACGGCCCAACCCCCUUCGGGAGGCACGGGUGGGAAAUUUGGGAGAGGGGGCGGAAGCCUGUCCCAGCAAGGCCGCGUGAGGGAAAAAGGCCUUCGGGUUGUAAAGCUUUUUUGUCAGGGAAAAAACGGGAGGGGCUAAUAUCCUUGGCAAAGGCGGGAACCGGAAAAAAAAGCCCCGCCAAACCACUG
rnacentral:rRNA from 1 species